UACAGAGGGUGCAAGCGUUGUUCGGAAUUAUUGGGCGUAAAGGGCGCGUAGGCGGUGCUGUAAGUCUGGAGUGAAAUCUCUGGGCUCAACUCAGAGUCUGCUAUAGAAACUGCAGUGCUGGAGUGUGGGAGAGGUGAGUGGAAUUCCCGGUGUAGCGGUGAAAUGCGUAGAUAUUGGGAGGAACACCAGUGGCGAAGGCGGCUCACUGGACCGGUACUGACGCUGAUGCGCGAAAGCGUGGGGAGCAAACGGG
rnacentral:rRNA from 1 species